ensembl:lncRNA
AAAGAAAACAGUGGAACUGUCGGAAGACAUCAACUUCUUUUUAUUGACUGUGUGAAGCCACUAGAUCACAACCGUUCUCCACAUCAUCAUGGGAGUCAUGACUGUGUCUGUUUUCUGCAUCCUCCUCACCUUCUUGGUGACUGAGAGUUUUGCAGUUCCAGGCCAGAAGUGUAAAUAUGGGUUUUCUCAACCAAACCCCUCCUGGAAGUCUUGCUACCUUUUGGACCAAAAGUUAAGAUCAUGGUCUGAUGCAAAGGAGCUAUGCCUUGAAAAAGGUGGAACCCUAGCUUCUAUCAAAAACAAUGAACAGUUACAAUAUGCAUAUGAGAUGAUUUCAGACGGAUAUUUCUGGGUUGACGGGAACUAUGUGUCUGGAUUUCCCCAGAAAAACUGGUUGCCGGGUUCGAAGCCAGGUGGGACACAUGCUGACUGCUUGACAUUGGUGAAAUUCCCUGCGGCAAGAGGCUUUAGUGAUAUUGCUUGUUCCGAAAAAAUUGACACUGCCUACGCUCUCUGUGAGUCCGUUGUUAAGUACUGAAGUGUCCACUCAGAGAAUACAAAGGGAUGUUCUUUUUGUACUAUUGCACACACUAUUUAGACUUUACUUUAAGUGAAAGACACAGAGAAAAUAUAACGUAUAUUAUGGCUACCUAGAGCAUACCUACAUUGAUUCAGGUGUGACCUUUUAUUAAAUAGUUUCUUAUUUUGUAAUGGAAUUGUAAUAGUGUUAUGGAAGCUUUUCUAAAGGCCCU